AGGUGGGCACUCCUGAGGCUGCAGAGCGGAAGAGACCACCAACACUGCCCACCCCUGCCCACAUCCCUGGCCCAAGAGGAAACUGUAUAAGGCCUCUGGGAUCCCAUAGAGGAGGGCCUAGGAGCAGCAGGUCCGCUCCCUCUGAGACACCGCCAGAACCUGAAGGGACCGACCAGAUAAAGAGUUCUCUGCACCCAAAUGCCAUGGGAAGGAGAGCUAAACCUUCAGAGAGGCAGACACACCUGGGAAACCAGAAGAGACUGCACUCCGCACACAUUACUGAUUCCAGAGGAAAACACCAAACGCCAUCUGGAACCCUGGUGCACGGAAGCUCCUGGAAAGGGCGGCGCAGAUCUUCCUGGUUGCUGCCGCCACAGAGAGCUCGUGGGUAGCACCCCGCGAGCAAACUUGAGCCUCAGGACCACAGGUAAGACCAACUUUUCUGCUGCAAGUGACCUGCCUGGUGAACUCAAGACACAGGCCCACAGGAACAGCUGAAGACCUGUAGAUAGGGAAAACUACACGCCCGAAAGCAGAACACGCUGUCCCCAUAACUGGCUGAAAGAAAACAGGAAAA
rnacentral:lncRNA from 1 species